rnacentral:rRNA from 1 species
UACGUAGGGACCAAGCGUUGUUCGGAUUUACUGGGCGUAAAGGGCGCGUAGGCGGCAAUUCAAGUCAUCUGUGAAAUCUCUGGGCUUAACCCAGAACGGCCAGGUGAUACUGCUUUGCUAGAGUGCGGAAGGGGCAAUCGGAAUUCUUGGUGUAGCGGUGAAAUGCGUAGAUAUCAAGAGGAACACCUGAGGUGAAGACGGGUUGCUGGGCCGACACUGACGCUGACAGCGCGAAAUCCAGGGGAGCAAACGGG